CUGACCAUCUCGAAAUGACAUUUAGAUAAAAAGACUGGUGAUGAAAACUUAAGAACUGAACAAGGACCGGCAGGGGAAAGGAGGAGCUUGGGGGACCAAGACCUCAGGAAAACCCAGAAAGUCACACGAGGGGCCUCGGGUCCUGCCUGGGAGGGAAGGGCUAGAAAAGGAUUCCUGAAAGAAGGAGGACCUAAACGGGCUGCUUUUAUUUUUAAUUUUUAUGGGUUUACUAAAGCAUAAAAGU
rnacentral:lncRNA from 1 species